GACCUGAUAGCUCAGCAGGGAGAGCGCCAUCUUGACAGGGUGGAGGUCACAGGUUCGAACCCUGUUCAGGUCACCA
rnacentral:tRNA from 2 species